GGGAAUUUAGCUUAGCGCAUAGCGCCUGCCUUGUAAGCAGGCAAUCGCCAGUUCGAUCCCUGUAUCCA
rnacentral:tRNA from 1 species